AUUGAACGCUGGCGGCAGGCUUAACACAUGCAAGUCGAGCGGAGAUGAGGUGCUUGCACCUUAUCUUAGCGGCGGACGGGUGAGUAAUGCUUAGGAAUCUGCCUAUUAGUGGGGGACAACAUUCCGAAAGGAAUGCUAAUACCGCAUACGCCCUACGGGGGAAAGCAGGGGAUCUUCGGACCUUGCGCUGAUAGAUGAGCCUAAGUCGGAUUAGCUAGUUGGUGGGGUAAAGGCCUACCAAGGCGACGAUCUGUAGCGGGGCUGAGAGGAUGAUACGCCACACUGGGAAUGAGACACGGCCCAGACUCCUACGGGAGGCAGCAGUGGGGAAUAUUGGACAAUGGGCGGAAGCCUGAUCCAGCCAUGCCGCGUGUGUGAAGAAGGCCUUUUGGUUGUAAAACACUUUAAGCGAGGAGGAGGCUACCUGGAUUAAUACUCUAGGAUAGUGGACGUUACUCGCAGAAUAAGCACCGGCUAACUCUGUGCCAGCAGCCGCGGUAAUAC
rnacentral:rRNA from 1 species